rnacentral:rRNA from 1 species
UUAGCUAGUUGGCGGGGUAACGGCCCACCAAGGCGACGAUGCGUAGGGGUUCUGAGAGGAAGGUCCCCCACACUGGUACUGAGACACGGACCAGACUCCUACGGGAGGCAGCAGUGAGGAAUAUUGGUCAAUGGGCGCGAGCCUGAACCAGCCAAGUCGCGUGAGGGAAGACGGUCCUAUGGAUUGUAAACCUCUUUUGUCGGGGAGCAAAAGGCGCCACGUGUGGCGUUCCGAGAGUACCCGAAGAAAAAGCAUCGGCUAACUCCGUGCCAGCAGCCGCGGUAAUACGGAGGAUGCGAGCGUUAUCCGGAUUUAUUGGGUUUAAAGGGUGCGCAGGCGGAAGAUCAAGUCAGCGGUAAAAUUGAGAGGCUCAACCUCUUCGAGCCGUUGAAACUGGUUUUCUUGAGUGAGCGAGAAGUAUGCGGAAUGCGUGGUGUAGCGGUGAAAUGCAUAGAUAUCACGCAGAACUCCGAUUGCGAAGGCAGCAUACCGGCGCUCAACUGACGCUCAUGCACGAAAGUGUGGGUAUCGAACAGGAUUAGAUACCCUGGUAGUCCACACAGUAAACGAUGAAUACUAAUUGUUCGGGGAGAAUGAUCCCUGA